rnacentral:rRNA from 1 species
AUGAGUGGCAUGAUGGCGGCAGGGAGGAGCAGGAUGUUCAUCCCUCUCAGGCCACGGGCGCUCUCGCAGCAACGCACUCUCCUUGCCGGCCUCGCCGCCGCCUUCGCGGUCACCCUACUCUGCAUCCUCCUCCUGCUCUCCUCCCUUCCCGCCGCCUCCUCGCCACCGCCCCGCCGGCGCCACGACAUCGACACAACAUCCAGGACCGCGCGUAGUCCUCCCGCUCAUUGCGGCGCGAUGAGCGCGAGCCUGGGGGAGUUCGGCGACAUGAUGGUGUCCAUGCUCCCGAGGGACCUCGCCUUCACCGCCUUUGUGCCCUCGCCGGAGUCGUUCCGCCGCGUUCUCAGGCUGCGGCACAACGACAGCGCCGCGGGGCUGAAGGCCAGCGACGACACCUACGCCGUCAUCUCUCGCGUGCUCGGCUUCUCCGCCGUGCCUCUGCGCCUGCGCUCCGGGGACGUGGCUCUGCGCGGGACGGCGCGGCUGCUGGACCUGGACUCCGUGUCCGGACUGAAGGUGCACGCGUGGAGGGACGUGGACGGGGCUCUCGUCGUCAACGGCGUGCGGUCGGAGUGCGUCGAUAUCGUCAGGGACGAGACCGUGGUCCAUGUCAUGGCGGGGGUCCUCAUGGACGCCGAGUUCGAGCGAUCUCUUUCCCUUCAGAAUUAG